CCGGCCGCGGCGUCCCGCUGGGUCCCUGGUGCCAGGUGGAAGCGGGACCUGCGGGGACACGCUGCCCACGACGCCCCCGCCAGGCGCGAGCAGAAGAGUGGGCGAGAACGGGCCGGGCCCCGGGUUGUCGCUGCCGGACCCGGGCGUCUGCCCCGCGCUGGUGUCGUCCGCGGCCUCAGGUUGGCGGGUCCGCCCCGUCCCUGGACGGGGGUGACCCGGGGACCGCGGGCAGGAGGGCGCCUGCAGCUGCGGCUGGAGAGCGCCGGCUGUGGGGUCCAGAGGCGGCCGCUCCGGCUCCUGCCUACCAGACGGCGCGGCUCCGCGGGCCGCCGCCCGGGCGCGGGGACAGGUGUCCCGGCCGGGGUCUAUCGGGAAGAUGGCGACCCCGGGCAUGAGCUGGCAGCAGCACUAUUACGGCGGCUCGGCGGCCGGGACGGCCAAAUUCGUGCCCUCGCCGGCCGCUGCGCAGCAGGCGGGGCACAGCAUGGACUACAGCCAGGACCUGCACCUGAAAAUGAGCAAGAAAAUCGCCCAGCUGACCAAGGUCAUAUAUGCUUUGAACACUAAAAACGAUGAGCAUGAAUCUGCAAUUCAAGCCCUCAAAGAUGCUCACGAAGAAGAAAUCCAACAAAUUCUUGCAGACACAAGGGAAAAAAUAUUACAAUAUAAAAGCAGAGUAACAGAGGAGUUAGACCUUAAGAGAAAGAUUCAGGUUCUAGAAGCCUCGUUAGAAGACCACAAGAAAAUGAAGCAGCAGGCUUUGUCAGAGUUUGAAGCCUACAAGCACAGAGUCGAGGACAUGCAGCUUUGUGCCGAAGCGCAACAUGUCCAACGCAUAGUGACCAUGUCGAGAGAGGUUGAAGAGAUCAGAAGGAAGUUUGAGGAAAAAUUACGGAGUUUUGGACAACUGCAAGUACAGUUUGAAAAAGACAAAAGGCUGGCGCUGGAAGAUUUGAGGACGGCUCACAAACGGGAGGUCCAGGAGCUGUUGAAGUCCCAGCAGGAUCAGAGCGCCUGUGUGCACAAGGGGCAGAAAACAGAGGAACUGCACAGAGUGGAGGUGGAGGCCUUAAACAAAACCCUGGAGGAGCUACGACUUGAGCGAAAAAAGCUAAUUGAGGAUUAUGAGGGCAAGUUGAAUAAAGCUCAGUCCUUUUAUGAACAUGAGCUGGAUACUUUGAAGAGAUCACAGCUUUUUACAGCGGAAAGCCUACAGGCUAGCAAAGAAAAGGAAGCUGAUCUUAGAAAGGAAUUUCAGGCACAAGAAGCAAUUUUACGAAAAACCAUAGGGAAAUUGAAGACAGAGUUACAGAUGGUUCAGGAUGAAGCUGGAAGUCUCCGUGACAAAUGCCAAAAGCUUCAGGUAGCCCUCGUUACGGCAGAGAGCAAUGUUCAGGGUCUUCAAAAACAGCUUGAUGAUGCCAAGGAGGGAGAGAUGGCCUUACUAAGCAAGCACAAGGAGGUGGAAAGCGAGCUAGCGGCAGCCAGAGAGCGUUUGCUGCAGCAGGCCUCGGACCUUGUCCUCAAAGCCAGUCAUAUUGGAAUGCUUCAAGCAACUCAAAUGACCCAGGAAGUUACAAUUAAAGAUCUAGAAUCAGAAAAAUCAAGGGCCAAUGAGAGAUUGUCUCAGCUUGAAGAAGAAAGAGCUUUUUUGCAAAGCAAAACUCAGAGUCUGGAUGAAGAGCAGAAACAGCAGAUUCUGGAACUGGAGAAGAUAUCUGCAAUACCAAGUGGGAGUUCUGGACACUCUUUCUCCUUCCCUCAGCAACCAAGCAUACUGAAAAGUGUCUGUUCUCCUUGCCCCUUGCUCACCUCCCAUUCAGUCCUUGCUCGGGUGCAGUCUGGUUUCUCUUACCACCACUCCACAGACUCGGCGUUUGCCUCAGCCUCCAGUGACAUCCUGGUUACUGGAUUUGGCGGAUCUUGUGUUACUGUGAAAGUAAAUGAAGCAAAGAAAACUCAGCAAGAAUAUUAUGAGUUGGAGCUAAAAAACCUGCAAAAUAGAUUGGAAGGGGAGGUGGCUCAAUUAAAUGAGGCCCAUUCUAAAACUUUGGAAGAAUUGGCUUGGAAGCACCACAUGGCAAUUGAGGCUGUCCACAGCAAUGCAGUUAGGGAUAAGAAAAAACUGCAAAUGGAAUUGGAGGAACAAUAUAAAAAGGAGAAACUAAAUCUGGAAGAAGAUAAAAGUCAGCUUCAACAAGAGCUAGAAAACCUGAAGAGAGAACUGGAAGACAAGCUGAAUACAGCCAAUCAAGAGAUUGGCCGCCUCCAAGAUCUGGUGAGGAAAAGCGAACAAGGUCUGGGCUCCGCCGAAGGACUCAUUGCCAGUCUCCAGGACUCCCAGGAAAGACUUCAAAGUGAGCUUGACUCGACUAAAGGCAGGCUGAAGGAGACCAAGGAGGCUCUGUUAAAUGUUGAGAGUGAGCUAGAACAAGAAAGGCAACAGCAUGAAGAAGCACUUGCUGCCGUGAAAGGAGAGGAGAAGCUCAGAGUGGACAGAAUGGCCCAUGACUUAGAAAUAAAAUGGACUGAAAAUCUCAGACAAGAGUGCUCUAAACUUCGUGAAGAGCUAAGACUUCAACACGAAGAGGAUAAAAAGUCAGCAAUGUCUCAACUUCUGCAGUUAAAAGAGCGUGAGAAAAAUGCAGCCAGGGACUCAUGGCAGAAGAAAGUAGAAGAUCUGUUAAACCAGAUCUCCUUGCUGAAACAGAAUCUGGAGAUGCAGCUUUCCCAGUCUCAGACUUCUUUGCAGCAACUGCAAGCCCAGUUUACACAAGAACGACAACGACUCACACAAGAGCUUGAAGAGUUGGAGGAACAACAUCAGCAGAGACAUAAAUCUUUAAAAGAAGCACAUGUCCUUGCAUUUCAAUCAAUGGAAGAAGAGAAGGAAAAGGAACAAAGAGCUCUUGAAAAUCAUUUACAACAGAAACAUUCUGCAGAGCUUCAGUCACUAAAAGAUGCACACAGAGAGUCAAUGGAGGGCUUCCGGGUAGAAAUGGAACAGGAACUUCAGACUCUGCGGUUUGAAUUAGAAGAUGAAGGAAAGGCUAUGCUUGCUUCUUUACGCUCAGAACUAAACCAUCAGCAUGCAGCUGCAAUUGAUUUGUUACGGCAUAAUCACCAUCAAGAAUUGGCAGCUGCUAAAAUGGAAUUAGAGAGAAGCAUGGACAUCAGUAGAAGACAGAGUAAGGAGCACAUGUGCAGAAUAACAGAUCUACAAGAGGAAUUAAGGCACAGAGAGCGUCACAUCACUGACCUGGAUAAGGAGAUACAGCACCUUCAUGAAAAUAUUAGUGCCCUAACCAAAGAAUUGGAAUUUAAAGGGCAGGAAAUUCUCAGGAUACGAAGUGAAUCUAACCAACAGAUGAGGUUGCAUGAACAAGAUUUAAACAAGAGACUUGAAAAAGAGCUGGAUGUCAUGACAGCAGACCAUCUCAGAGAGAAAAAUAUCAUGCGGGCAGAUUUUAAUAAGACUAACGAACUACUCAAGGAAAUAAAUGCAGCUUUACAAGUGUCAUUAGAAGAAAUGGAAGAAAAAUAUCUAAUGAGAGAAUCAAAACCAGAAGAUGUACAGAUGAUUACAGAAUUAAAAGCCAUGCUUACAGAAAGAGACCAUGUCAUAAAGAAGCUAAUUGAUGAUAAUAAAUUUUAUCAGCUGGAAUUAGUCAAUCGAGAAACUAACUUCAACAAAAUGUUUAAUUCAAGUCCUACUGUUGGUGUUAUUAAUCCAUUGACUAAGCAAAAGAAGAAGAAUGAUAAAUCACCAACAAACAGGUUUGUGAGUGUUCCCAAUCUAAGUGCUCUGGAAUCUGGUGGAGUGGGCAAUGGACAUCCUAACCGCCUGGAUCCCAUUCCUAAUUCUCCAGCCCACGACAUUGAGUUCAACAGCAGCAAGCCACUUCCACAGCCAGUGCCAUCCAAAGAGCCCAAGACAUUUUUGAGGUAUCAGUAAGAUGCAUGUGCAUGCGCUCAAGGAACAUGGCUGCUGGAGUUUCCAUUACACAUUGUUGCGUGCCUUGUAAUUUCCCCCAAAGACGUCCUCCUCAGAGUGAAGCUUCCCCAGCGGCUUCUCCAGAUCCCCAGCGCCAGGAGUGGUUUGCCCGGUACUUCACGUUCUGAAAGAACUGUGUUGGCACAGCUCUGUGUGGACUGUUACUAAGAGCAUGACCUUACAGAUCAUUAUGUGAACAGGCUUUCCUAUGUCAAACACUGUGAAUGAGAAAGUAUUUGUCUCUAAUAUGAAAAUGCACUGUAUUUCCUGUGGUAUUUAUUGGAAUCAUUCUUAUAAGGUACUAUGUUAUGUGUGUAAUUACAAUAGUUAUUUUUUUUUAAAUGAAAGAGCCUUUAACCUUUGUAAUUACUGCAUAAUAAAUUUUGCUAAAACAAA